rnacentral:lncRNA from 1 species
UGACGUUGCAUUCAUAUCAUUUUUAUCCAAAGCAUAUACAGAAACACAUAACCAAAGCUUUGGAUAUCAUAUCAAACAUACAGAAGGUGAAGUGGGACCAUAACAUAAUAUGGUACAUCCAUUUCUGAAUGACCACCAAACAUAAGUCUCCCACGUCUGGGAGGUCUCCCACGUUUGGGAGCUCCAUCCACCCACGUUUGAGUGAAGUCAUUGGGGCCGGUAGAGCAUCUCAGGCUCUAUGCAUAACUCCCUUCACCAUUUCUGGCGAAGGUUCACAAUAUCCCACAAACACCAGAGUACAAAAGGAUAGUAUGAACAAUGAAUAGCACAUAUCGGAAGCACACGCAGAACAACAAAACGUACAUGUGCCUUUACGAGUCAAUCCGAUGUAAGCAAUAAUCUUUAACAAUUAUAUUCAGAUUUGAAAGGAAUUUAAAGCAAGGGCACAUAUGGAAUCCAAGCAAUCACAUACAACUAAAUUCAAAUAAGAAGGUUAGAUGAAUUCGAUAUCCAAAGGAAUGAAACUAGAAUAGGCACACAUCGAAAGCAAAUGCGGAACAAUGGGUUAUACAUGUGCCUAUAUAAGUCAAUGUGAUAUAGCAUAAACAUUACACAAUAUGUUCAGGAAUGGUAAUAAUUUAUAGACAAGAGCAAAUGAGAAUUCAAACAUUAAUAUAAGCCAUAAUUGAGUGAAGGGAACUGAACAAAAUCUAUUUCCAAACGAACGAAAACAGAAGAUACGAAAUCGAUCAAAGCUCGAUUUCUGACAGAAUUCGAGAGGCUCAUUGGAUAAAUACUUCAGAUUGUCAAUUAUGCUCCAAUACCCUCAAGAAGGC